AAGGAAAGGAAAUCAUUUGCUCUCUUACCAUGUACAGAGCAAAGGCGAGAGACAGUCAGACAGAGGCAGAAAAUAAAAAAGUAAAUUGACAGGGAUAAAGAGAGGAGAGAGGAAGAGGGGAGACGAAGAGGAGAGUGUAACAGGAGUGAGGAAGAGGAGAGGAAAUUAAAGAAGAAGAGGGCACGCAAGGCAAAGGGGAGGAGACUGAGAGGGGAGGGUUGAGAGAGAGAAAGAGAGAGAGAGAGAAGGAGGGUGGAGUCAAAGAGGGAGCACAGGAGAAAGUAUGAGGAAAUGAUAGAGAGAAGAGAAAGCAGGGCAGAGGGAGAAAGAGAGGAGGCCAUAGAGAUAGAGAGAGAUACAGAGGGGGAUUGGAAGUAGGAAUACACAGAUGAGAGAGCACAAGAGGAAGCCAGACAGACAGCAGUGCUGACAGACGGACAUCAUUGCAGACAGACAGACAGCAGUGCAGACAGACAGACAGACAGACAGACAGACAGACAGACAGACAGACAGACAGACAGACAGACAGACAGACAGACAGACAGACAGACAGACAGACAGACAGACAGAGGCAUGUCCAACCAAACGGGUCCCCAGCACAGGGUCUUGUUCCAAACCCCAGGUGAGGAGAAGGCGGAAGAGGAGCCUCCUCAACGCAGACUGGGAAAACUCACGGUCAAGUACAACCGCAAGGACCUGCAAAAGAGGCUGGACAUCGAGGAGUGGAUCGAUGGGCAGCUGCAUCUCCUGUUUGACUGCGAGGAGGAGGAUAUUCCAGAGUUAGAAAUUGACAUGGAUGAGUUGCUGGAUCUGUCAGACGCAGAACAGAGAGCAAAGCUACAUGUGAGCGCAAAAUCCUUGGUCUACUCAGACCUGGGACCUUCUUCAAGACUGUGGCAAGCCCAAAGAGGACUUCAUCGACGGCUUGCUGUAUCGGAUGAAGGGUCUUCGCAAGAUGUCCCUGAAAAAAUGAACCGAACUAGUUGGAGCGGAGACCAUGUGAAAUGAGACACCAUCCUCUCUCACCUGUAGCUGUGGAUGUGUGUACAGUGACAGUCCUCAUGUAUCUAGAUAUAUCCUUAUGUAUCCACAAUCUGCACUAUCAGUGUCUAUAUUAGUGGUUUGCAGCCCUUGUCAAAGAGGGUCCCCAUGGCCAGUCCGUCUUGGCCUUAUAUUAUUAGGACUAUUUGAUACCAUAUAUGUCUUACUCACAUAAGCCUGGUGGGUCUUCCAAUGGGGCAUCUGUGUAAAACUGAGUUUAAAUAUGACGUAAUAUAGCAUAGAGAUAUCCUACUAGAUUCAAACACCUCUUGGUAUCAGUUGCCUCUGAAGUAGAAUGAGAGAUCAUGCAGUCUAGUAUUGAUGGAUUAUCCAGUCUAUCGUUUAUGUCGAUGUUUUUCACUGUUAUGUUACAGAAUGGUUCACCAAUUCACCAUGGCCUGGUUUGUUUAGUUCUUCAGUGUUAAUGGACACUUCUGGCAUUUUGAAUAAUCAGAUCACAGCUUAUUGUUAUGUUGACAUUCUUUUUUAUUUAUUUUUUAUUUUGAAUGAAAUGUUUUCUCUGAUUAAUCCCCUGCUAUGACUAGCCCAAGAAUGUACUGUGAAUAUGGUUACUAAUGUUUGUGUUUAGCUUAAGGUAUUGUUUUAAAAGAAGCAGUGCUGUCAUUAACUUGCCCCAACUGUUACAUCGGAAUUUCAAAUGGGAUCUCUAAUAGAAAAUAUGUGUACUGUGAUGUUACUUAUGAUAUUCUGGAAAAUAUCUCACCUAAAACAAAUUCACUUCAAUCCAUAAAAGGGCAGUUAGGCAUCACAAAAUGUCGAUGAGCUGAGGAACCGCGAAAGAUCCCAAUGGGGGAUCUAAACUUUUGCUGUUUGUGCAUUUCAAUAAAUCAGUGGAAGCAUAUCAGAGUUGUGACAUUCUUCAGGGCAGAAGGUAGCAGAGCGUUAAGCCAGUAACCAAAAGGUGGCUGGUUCGAAUAUCCGAGCCGACAAGGUGAAAAAUGUGUCGAUGUGUACUUGAGCAAGGCACUUAACCUUAAAUUGAUCCAGGGGUGCUGUACUACAAUGGCUGACCCUGUAAAACAACACAUUUCACUGCACCUAUCUGUAAAACAACACAUUUCACUGCACCUAUCUGUAAUACAACACAUUUCACUGCACCUAUCUGUAAUACAACACAUUUCACUGCACCUAUCUGUAAUACAACACAUUUCACUGCACCUAUCUGUAAAACAACACAUUUCACUGCACCUAUCUGUAAAACAACACAUUUCACUGCACCUAUCUGUAAUACAACACAUUUCACUGCACCUAUCUGUAAUACAACACAUUUCACUGCACCUAUCUGUAAAACAACACAUUUCACUGCACCUAUCUGUAAAACAACACAUUUCACUGCACCUAUUUGUAAAACAACACAUUUCACUGCACCUCUCUGUAAUACAACACAUUUCACUGCACCUAUCUGUAAAACAACACAUUUCACUGCACCUAUCUGUAAAACACAUUUCACUGCACCUAUCUGUAAAACAACACAUUUCACUGCACCUAUCUGUAAAACAACACAUUUCACUGCACCUAUCCACAAAUAUUUAAUUAAACGUAAUUUAUUUCAUUUGAGGCUGGUUCAAACUACUCCCAAAUGUUCUUACCAUUGAAUUAGUUUAUGUAUUAUAUUGCAUUUUCUGA
rnacentral:lncRNA from 1 species